rnacentral:tRNA from 1 species
GCGGGUGUAGUUCAGUGGUAGAACGACAGCUUCCCAAGCUGUAUGUCGUCGGUUCGAGUCCGAUCACCCGCUCUA